UGAGCAGAGGCACAGGUGGUGGCAGGCAGUAGAGGCGCCCCAUGGGGAACAUACUGACCUGUCGUGUGCACCCUAGCGUCAGCCUCGAGUUUGACCCAGCAGCAGGGGUCGGUGUGUCCCUCUGAAUCUGAGAUCUAUGAGGCAGUAGCUGAGGACAGGAUGGCAGGAGCGCCCAUGGCUGCUGCUGUACAGCCUGCUGAGGUGACUGUUGAAGUUGGUGAGGACCUCCACAUGCACCAGGUUCGUGACCGGGAGAUGCCUGAAGCUUUGGAGUUUAACCUUUCUGCCAAUCCAGAGGCAAGCACAAUAUUCCAGAGGAACUCUCAAACAGAUGCUUUGGAGUUUAACCCUUCUGCCAAUCCAGAGGCAAGCACAAUAUUCCAGAGGAACUCUCAAACAGAUGUUGUAGAAAUAAGAAGAAGCAACUGUACAAACCAUGUAUCUACUGAGCGUUUCAGUCAACAAUACAGCUCGUGUUCGACAAUAUUCCUUGAUGACAGCACAGCCAUCCAGCAUUAUCUUACAAUGACAAUAAUAUCUGUGACCUUGGAGAUACCUCAUCAUAUCACACAAAGAGAUGCAGAUAGAUCUUUGAGCAUACCUGAUGAACAGUUACACUCAUUUGCGGUUUCCACCGUGCACAUUAUGAAGAAAAGAAAUGGAGGUGGGAGUUUAAAUAACUAUUCCUCCUCCAUUCCACCGACUCCCAGCACCAGCCAGGAGGACCCUCAGUUCAGUGUUCCUCCCACUGCCAACACACCCACCCCCAUUUGCAAGCGGUCCAUGCGCUGGUCCAACCUGUUUACAUCUGAGAAAGGGAGUGACCCAGACAAAGAGAGGAAAGCCCCGGAGAAUCAUGCUGACACCAUCGGGAGCGGCAGAGCCAUCCCCAUUAAACAGGGCAUGCUCUUAAAGCGAAGUGGGAAAUGGCUGAAGACAUGGAAAAAGAAAUACGUCACCCUGUGUUCCAAUGGCGUGCUCACCUAUUAUUCAAGCUUAGGUGAUUAUAUGAAGAAUAUUCAUAAAAAAGAGAUUGACCUUCGGACAUCUACCAUCAAAGUCCCAGGAAAGUGGCCAUCCCUAGCCACAUCAGCCCGUGCACCCAUCUCCAGCUCUAAAAGCAAUGGCCUAUCCAAGGACAUGGACACCGGGCUGGGUGACUCCAUAUGCUUCAGCCCCAGUAUCUCCAGCACCACCAGCCCCAAGCUCAACCCACCCCCCUCUCCUCAUGCCAAUAAAAAGAAACACCUAAAGAAGAAAAGCACCAACAACUUUAUGAUUGUGUCUGCCACUGGCCAAACGUGGCACUUUGAAGCCACGACGUAUGAGGAGCGGGAUGCCUGGGUCCAAGCCAUCCAGAGCCAGAUCCUGGCCAGCCUGCAGUCAUGCGAGAGCAGUAAAAGCAAGUCCCAGCUGACCAGCCAGAGUGAGGCCAUGGCCCUGCGGUCGAUCCAAAACAUGCGUGGGAACGCCCACUGUGUGGACUGUGAGACCCAGAAUCCUAAGUGGGCCAGUUUGAACUUGGGAGUCCUCAUGUGUAUUGAAUGCUCAGGUAUCCACCGCAGUCUUGGCACCCGCCUUUCCCGUGUGCGAUCUCUGGAGCUGGAUGACUGGCCAGUUGAGCUCAGGAAGGUUAUGUCGUCUAUUGGCAAUGAGCUAGCCAACAGCAUCUGGGAAGGGAGCAGCCAGGGGCAGACAAAACCCUCAAUAAAGUCCACGAGGGAAGAGAAGGAACGGUGGAUCCGUUCCAAAUAUGAGGAGAAGCUCUUUCUGGCCCCACUACCCUGCACUGAGCUGUCUCUGGGCCAGCAGCUGCUGCGGGCCACCGCUGAUGAGGACCUGCAGACAGCCAUCCUGCUGCUGGCACAUGGCUCCCGUGAGGAGGUGAACGAGACCUGUGGGGAGGGAGACGGCUGCACGGCACUCCAUCUGGCCUGCCGCAAGGGGAAUGUGGUCCUGGAGCAGCUCCUGAUCUGGUACGGGGUGGACGUCAUGGCCCGAGAUGCCCACGGGAACACAGCGCUGACCUACGCCCGGCAGGCCUCCAGCCAGGAGUGCAUCAACGUGCUUCUGCAGUACGGCUGCCCCGACGAGUGCGUGUAGUAUCUGUUUUAUUUGACUGCAGUCUCCUUGGUGCAAAA
ensembl:lncRNA AGAP12P ArfGAP with GTPase domain, ankyrin repeat and PH domain 12, pseudogene